CCCACCACCCCAAUCCCUUCCCUAGCCCCUCACUUCCUCUCUUCCUUUCCUUACUUUCAUCCAGGGCUCCUGUCGGUGCUAGGGGAAAAACCAUGGGGCAACAUUAGUAGCCUCAGAUGCGGUGCCAUUGAUAUCUUUGUCUCAUUUCACCCCACAGCAGCACUGGGGUGCAUCAAAGUCUCAUCCUACUGCAGAAGAAACUAAGCUCAGAGAGAUUUCCAGCUUCCUCAGAUCAUUGCUCAGAGCAGUGGAUCAAGAACAAGACCCCAGGAUGUCAGCACUAAGACUCCAGCACCAGUGUGGCAACCUCGGAACCAGCCUUGCUCACCUGUGCCUCAGUUUCCUACCAGUGGAUGAGGAUACUGUGUGUGUUACAGAUUUCCGAGGCUCCAGGGAGAUGUAGAGUGAGAGGAGCCUAGACGAACAUCCCCACACAGUCAGGGUUCAUGCACUUCAUUGUCAUCCUGCCAUUUGAAGACUGCCCCUUCCAGAACCAACUGGUCUCUGAGCUGGACUUUCCUUCCCAGUGACAUAGGACUCUAAAUGAUAUAUGGGAAAUAGCAUAACUCUCAACCUGUUAGAUUUCACAUACACCAAGUUUGUGUUCUCCAAAAUUAAACAAUGAAUUUUAAGUAACAACGGAGGUUGAGAGUUGGAAAUCUUUUUUAUUUUUUUGGUACCAGGGAUGGAACUUGGGUCCUGAACCACUGAGCUAAACCCCUGGCCCCAGAGUUGGAAAUCUUGAGCUGGGGUUGUAGGCCAUGCCUUCUUGACAAGCACAAGGUCCUAAGUUCAAUCCCCAGUAUGCCCUUCUCUCCCAAAAAAGAGUAGGAAAUCUUUAUGGAGGAGGAGAGAUAUAGCUCCUGAGGAACAGGAGUGGGCCCUAGUGAGUUGCCAAUGAGUCCACUUUGUAGAGGAAGUCUUAUAGAGCAAACUCACAAGGUGGGUACAAAAUCACGAAGAAGGUACAACAUUGGACAAAACUAUGAUUAACCAAUAAGAUUACAAGUAUGGUAAUAUUGAAUCAAUGGAGAAGCAAGUCAUGUAGCAAGAGUACAUGGAAAGAACAAGGACUUUUUUUGGAAGAAGAGAUGAGUCAGGAGAUCCUGGUCACCCACCCAGGUGACUGAUGCCUCUCUAGCUAGGCUUUGUUGGACCAGGUAAUACUGAUUAUAGUAUACUGUUUAUUCUUUGGGGAGGAAUGUAGGCCUAGU
rnacentral:lncRNA from 1 species